UACGUAGGGUGCGAGCGUUGUCCGGAAUUAUUGGGCGUAAAGGGCUCGUAGGCGGUUUGUCGCGUCGGGAGUGAAAACCCAGGGCUUAACCCUGGGCUGGCUUUCGAUACGGGCAGACUAGAGGUAUGCAGGGGAGAACGGAAUUCCUGGUGUAGCGGUGAAAUGCGCAGAUAUCAGGAGGAACACCGGUGGCGAAGGCGGUUCUCUGGGCCUUACCUGACGCUCAGGUGCGAAAGCUAGGGGAGCGAACAGG
rnacentral:rRNA from 1 species